rnacentral:tRNA from 1 species
UCCCUGGUGGUCCAGUGGUUAAGACUUUGUACUUCCACUACUGGGAGCACAGGUUCGAUCCCUGCUCUGGGGA